rnacentral:rRNA from 1 species
GGGGGGGGGGGGGGGGGGGCGGGGGGGGGGGGGGGGGGGGAACGGGGGGGGAGCUUGGUCCUCUGGCGUUAGGGGCGGGGGGGCGGGUGACACUUGGGGAGCCGACCGGUGAGGCUGUGAUAACGUCGGGGAACCGGGUCUUAUAGCGGCUAAUACGUUGAACCGCCUGGUUCCUUAGUGAAUGACUGUUUGGCUGUCACUUUUAGAUGGACCCGCUGCGCAUUAGCUAGUUUGUAAGGUAACGGCUUACCAAGGCUACGAUGCGUAGCCGACCUGAGAGGGUGAUCGGCCACACGGGAACUGAGACACGGUACAGACUCCUACGGGAGGCAGCAGUCGGGAAUGUACCGCAAUGGGCGAAAGCCUGACGGAGCAACGCGGCGUGAGUGAUGAAGGUCUACGGAUCGUAAAACUCUGUUAUUAGGGAAGAACAAAUGUGUAAGUAACUAUGCACGUCUUGACGUUACCUAAUCAGAACGCCACGGCUAACUACGUG